rnacentral:tRNA from 1 species
AUGAUAAUUAGUUUAAGCCAAAAANCAAAUGAUUUCGA